rnacentral:rRNA from 1 species
UGCCUACGGGUGGCAGCAGUGGGGAAUCUUGCGCAAUGGGCGAAAGCCUGACGCAGCAACGCCGCGUGAGGGAUGACGGCCUUCGGGUUGUAAACCUCUUUCAGGAGGGACGAAGCUUCCGGGGUUAAUAGCCUACGGGGUGACGGUACCUCCAGAAGAAGCCCCGGCUAACUACGUGCCAGCAGCCGCGGUAAUACGUAGGGGGCAAGCGUUGUCCGGAAUCAUUGGGCGUAAAGCGCGUGUAGGCGGCUUGGUAAGUCUGGUGUGAAAACUUGGGGCUUAACCCCAGGCCUGCACUGGAUACUGCCUGGCUAGAGUCCGGGAGGGGAGAGCGGAAUUCCCAGUGUAGCGGUGAAAUGCGCAGAUAUUGGGAAGAACACCGGUGGCGAAGGCGGCUCUCUGGAACGGUACUGACGCUGAGACGCGAAAGCGUGGGGAGCGAACAGGAUUAGAUACCCUAGUAGUCGC